rnacentral:rRNA from 1 species
GAUGAACGCUGGCGGCGUGCCUAAUACAUGCAAGUCGAGCGAACAGACGAGGAUCUUGCUCCUCUGACGUUAGCGGCGGACGGGUGAGUAACACGUGGAUAACCUACCUAUAAGACUGGGAUAACUUCGGGAAACCGGAGCUAAUACCGGAUCAUAUAUUGAACCGCAUGGUUCAAUAGUGAAAGACGGUUUUGCUGUCACUUAUAGAUGGAUCCGCGCCGCAUUAGCUAGUUGGUAAGGUAACGGCUUACCAAGGCGACGAUGCGUAGCCGACCUGAGAGGGUGAUCGGCCACACUGGAACUGAGACACGGUCCAGACUCCUACGGGAGGCAGCAGUAGGGAAUCUUCCGCAAUGGGCGAAAGCCUGACGGAGCAACGCCGCGUGAGUGAUGAAGGUCUUCGGAUCGUAAAACUCUGUUAUUAGGGAAGAACAAAUGUGUAAGUAACUAUGCACGUCUUGACGGUACCUAAUCAGAAAGCAACGGCUAACUACGUG